rnacentral:rRNA from 1 species
UACAGAGGGUGCAAGCGUUGUUCGGAAUUACUGGGCGUAAAGCGAGUGUAGGCGGCCUAUUAAGUCAGAUGUGAAAUCCCUUGGCUCAACCGAGGAACUGCAUCUGAUACUGGUGGGCUUGAGUGUCGGAGGGGAUGGUAGAAUUCCUGGUGUAGAGGUGAAAUUCGUAGAUAUCAGGAGGAAUACCUGUGGCGAAGGCGACCAUCUGGAAGACAACUGACGCUGAGACUCGAAAGCGUGGGUAGCGAACAGG